UGAGAACCCGGGUCACCUUUAU
rnacentral:misc_RNA from 1 species